GAGUCUUUGAAAUCCUUUUUAAAGAACUAGGUGGGGACGCAAGUUGUGAGGAGAUGUUUCAAGAGGACUUGGACCUGCAUGGACAUAUAGAAUAUAAAACUGAUCAUCUCCUCCACGAGUCCCAGUAACCAUUCAACAUCUGCCUUAGCAUGAGUUCUUUCUGAGACUUGCUGGAACCAAUUCCCAGGUACUGACCUUAGUAACAACCAACUUCCAAUAUCUGUUUAAACAUACUACUCUAUCCUGGUGAUGAAAUGUCUACAGAACCUUUUAACUAGGUAUCAACUUGCAAUUAAAUGCCACAUCUGGCCUCACAAAUAAACAAAACCCUGUUUGGUCUUUUGUCCUGUUAACACAAAACGUUACCUACUGUCCAAAAGUCACCUUUAGCUCUCAGUUCCCAGAUCACAGCUCAAAUCAAAAUGUAUAAAAGAAUAAAAUACGAAUAACAAAAUAUCAAUGAGGGUUCUAACACACACUGCAUUACAUACAAGGACAAGUGGUAUCAACAGAAGGAAGAAUCUUAAUUAUGUCAAGAACCCUGUGCAUUGGUUAAAAUCCAAACUACGCUGUUAUUGUACAAGAAACUAUCAGGCUCUAUUAUUGAAGCCUGUUUUCUUGUAUACCUCCAAGUUUCAAAGAGAUGCCUGUAGAUAUUUUUAAUCAAUCUGUUCAGACAUGCUAUUACACACCUCUGCAGCAAGUGGGAUUUGAACCCAGACCUCCUGGCAAAGAAAUGUCCGUAUACCUGUGAAAUGAACAAGGUCAUAUGUGUAAUUAAUUAAAUUGGUUUUUGUUCAUUUGUGGGAUUCUCUAAUGGAAGUUAAAGAUACUUGAGCUUAAAUUAUGUGCACCAGAACAGCUGCUUGGCUAAUUUAAACACCAUAAACCAACUGAUAAUGGGUGUUAACAUAUGUCAGUUUAGUUAUAUUAAGAAAGUUGCACCUGAAAAGUAAGAAGGCAAUAAAGAUCAAGUUUGAAUCGUGAAAGAUUUGACUUGGAGGAUCAACAUAUGAUAAUGACACAGAUUUGUGGUGAUAGUGAUGGUGAAACUCAAUGUUGGGCAUCAUUAUCUCCUGAAACCAAAUGUGACUUAUAGAAAUCUAGGCACAGAAUUAUCCAGAAAUCCAAAAGUUGCUGUCAGUGAUUUUUCACUACUUCUGCGAAUGUACUGUUAAGGCACC